UACGUAGGGGGCAAGCGUUGUCCGGAUUUAUUGGGCGUAAAGAGCGUGUAGGCGGCUUUACAGGUCCGUUGUGAAAACUCGAGGCUCAACCUCGAGACGCCGGUGGAAACCGUAAGGCUAGAGUCCGGAAGAGGAGAGUGGAAUUCCUGGUGUAGCGGUGAAAUGCGCAGAUAUCAGGAGAAACACCCGUGGCGAAAGCGGCUCUCUGGGACGGUACUGACGCUGAGACGCGAAAGCGUGGGGAGCAAACAGG
rnacentral:rRNA from 1 species